UACGGAGGGUGCAAGCGUUAUCCGGAUUCACUGGGUUUAAAGGGUGCGUAGGUGGGCAAGUAAGUCAGUUGUGAAAUCUCCGGGCUUAACCCGGAAACUGCCAUUGAUACUAUUUGUCUUGAAUACUGUGGAGGUCAGCGGAAUAUGUCAUGUAGCGGUGAAAUGCUUAGAUAUGACAUAGAACACCAAUUGCGAAGGCAGCUGGCUACACAAAUAUUGACACUGAGGCACGAAAGCGUGGGGAUCAAACAGG
rnacentral:rRNA from 1 species